AUUGAACGCUGGCGGCAGGCCUAACACAUGCAAGUCGAACGAGUGGCGGACGGGGGAGUAAUGUCUGGGAAACUGCCUGAUGGAGGGGGAUAACUACUGGAAACGGUAGCUAAUACCGCAUACCAUCGGAUGUGCCCAGAUGGGAUUGGCUUGUUGGGGGGGUAACGGCUCACCAAGGGGACUAUCCCUAGCUGGUCUGAGAGGAUGACCAGCCACACGGGAACGGGGACACGGUCCAGGCUCCUACGGGAGGCAGCAGUGGGGAAUAUUGCACAAUGGGCGCAAGCAUGAUGCAGCCAUGCCGCGUGUAAGAAGAAGGCCCGAGGGUUGUAAAGUACUUUCAGUCGGGAGGCGGUACCGACAGAAGAAGCACCGGCUAACUCCGUGCCAGCAGCCGCGGUAAUUC
rnacentral:rRNA from 1 species